GGUCAAUUGACAAUUUUGGUCAUGUUAAUUUAUUUGUAGAUCUUACUUUGCUGAACAUUAUUGCUCUUUACAGUUUAUCUCUAUCUAUAAUAAUAUUCAAGAUAAUAACCAAAAUCUGCAAAAUUUCCUUAAAACUACUAAUUCAGGGGCAGCAACCCAACAACAGGUUGUCCAAUUUGCCUGAAAAUUUCAGGACAGAUAAAUCUUGACCUGAUAAACAAUUUUACCCAUUGACAGAUUUGCUCUAAAUGCUUUGGUUUUAGAGUUAUAAGCCAAAAUCUACAUGUUACCCCUAUGUUCUAUUUUUAGCCAUGGCGGCCAUCUUGGUUGGUUGGCAGGAUCACGCCACACAUUUUUUUAACAAGAUACCCCAAUGAUGAUUGUGGCCAAGUUUGGAUUAAUUUGGCCCAGUAGUUUCAGAGGAGAAGUUUUUUGUAAACACAUGAAACAAUUACAAAAAUUUAAGAAAAAUGGUUAAAAAUUGCCUAUUAACGGCAAUAACUCCUUAAGGGGUCAACUGACAAUUUUGGUG
rnacentral:lncRNA from 1 species